GAGGGAGAUAUAUGGAUAAGAAAGCACCUAAGGGAGAUCGAAGGAGAAGGCCAAUGCCAGUGAUGAUGGGAAGGAAAGCAAUGGUAGAGACUGGCAGGAGGUGGCGGCAAGGAGAGCAGGGAGGAGAUCAGCGUUUCUCUUUUUUGAAAAUUUGUGGGAAGGAAAGCACCUAAGGGAGAUUGGAGGAGGAAGCCGAGACCGGUAAGAAUGGGGAGGAAGAUGAUGGCAGAGACUGGUGGG
rnacentral:lncRNA from 1 species